rnacentral:rRNA from 1 species
GGUUAAGUCCCGCAACGAGCGCAACCCUUAUUGCUAGUUACCAUCAUUAAGUUUGGGGGACUCUAGCGAGACUGCCAGUGAUAAACUGGAGGAAGGUGGGGAUGACGUCAAAUCAUCAUGCCCCUUAUGACCUGGGCUACAAACGUGAUACAAUGGCUGAAACAAAGGGCAGCGAAGCAGUGAUGUGGAGCGAAACCCAAAAAGCAGUCUCAGUUCGGAUUGAAGUCUGCAACUCGACUUCAUGAAGUCGGAAUCGCUAGUAAUCGCGGAUCAGAACGCCGCGGUGAAUACGUUCUCGGGGUUU